GACGAACCGAGCGAACGUUGUUCGGAAUCACUGGGCGUAAAGGGCGCGUAGGCGGGAUGGCAAGUCAGUCGUGAAAUCUCUCGGCUCAACCGAGAAACGUCGGCUGAUACUGCCGUUCUUGAGGGAUGCAGAGGAGACUGGAAUUCCCGGUGUAGCGGUGAAAUGUGUAGAGAUCGGGAGGAACACCGGUGGCGAAGGCGGGUCUCUGGGCAUUUCCUGACGCUGAGGCGCGAAAGCGUGGGGAGCAAACGGG
rnacentral:rRNA from 1 species